UUGAAAACCAUCAGAUCUUGUGAGACUCAUUCCCUAUCAUGAAAACAGUGCAGGAAAAAACUGUCCCUGUAAUUCAAUUACCUCCCACAACACAUGGGAAUUCAAGAUGAGAUUUGGGUGGGCAUACAGCCAAACCAUGUUGGUGGUGGGGGCCAUAAGUCAGCCUCUUAUAAGGGGUAUUAUUUCUUACAUUGGCAGUUAAAUUCCUAAAUAAACAAUGGGCUAAAUCAACCCUUCUUAACCUGGUACACCUUAAUGGUUUGUGAAAUUUUAGAAGUAUAUGCUUUCAUUAGGUUCUUAGUUUCCCAAAAGGCUAAGAGUUCAAACAAUGUUUACUUACUGGUAGUGAUGCAAACUGGGAACUUGAUUCAGUAUCUCUGUGUUUAACAGUUUUUUGUUUGCUUGUACACAGGUAUAGGAACCUAAUUUCCAUCUUAAUCAGUUUCUAUAGGAUGGGGACAUUCUGAGUUCAAAACAAUAUAUAAAAUCUUGAAAGGUAUCCUAUUCACAAGCUGAGGCUACCUACUCUUGGAGUAAAGAAGAAUAAUUGAGUUUAAUGAAUUUCAGUGGAUGAGCAUAUGAGAAUCUCAACUAUUGUAACAGGAUUUCAAAGGAAAGCAAUUCUAUCUGCCAAGAAAAGAGGACACAUAUUUAGAGAAUGGUUAUUCAGCAGGCAGAGGAGGAGAGGGACUUUUCCUUCAUGGAUGUCAGAGGACUUCGGUAGGCUCAGCUAUAACAGUUUACAAGCUCAAAAAGUGUGUAAUGGUGGCAGAAAGGAGUUAGUCCUAGAGGGUAUCCCUGGGGAAUAUGAAACAUGAUCAUAAAGAGAUGAAAAUGUGCUUCUCCAAACCCCUUAAAGGGCAAAACCUGAAGAAGCAGGCUUAUGUGUGAAAUACGGGGCUCAAUGAAACACCUCCUUAUAGUUGGAUUCUUGGAGAGGUUGUUGAAUUUCCAUAGCUGAAUAUGAUUAAAAUGACAGGAAGGUUUUGGGUCUGGGAUAUUUUGAAUACAAACUUUUGGAAAUAAAGGAAAGCUGAGUACUAUGUGAAACUUCCUUUUCAAUUCUGUUAGCUGAUGGUGAAUAUACACCACAUUUCUUUCUACCUGCUUUUCCCUGAUUUGCUGUAUACCUUGAAUCACAAAGGAUAAUGAAAUUAUGACCUUUAACAAUAUUUAUUGCUUGACUACAGGUUUCAUACUGGUUGAUAAUUUGUUGUGAAGUGAGUCAUUAACAAUAAAGUUACUAUUCACAGAG